AUUGAACGCUGGCGGCAGGCUUAACACAUGCAAGUCGAGCGAGCGGCGGACGGGUGAGUAAUGUCUGGGAAACUGCCUGAUGGAAGGGGAUAACCACUGGAAACGGUAGCUAAUACCGCAUACCAUCAGAUGUGCCCAGAUGGGAUUGGCUAGUGGGGGGGGUAAUGGCUCACCUAGGCGACGAUCCCUAGCUGGUCCGAUAGGAUGAACAGCAACACUGAAACGGAUAAACGCUCAGGACUCCAACGGGAGGCAGCAGUGGGGAAUUUUGCACAAUGGGCGCAAGCGUGAUGCGGCCAUGCCGCGUAGUGGAAGAAGGCCUUCGGGUUGUAAAGCACUUGCAGCGAGAAGGCGUUACUCGCAGAAGAAGCACCGGCUAACUCCGUGCCAGCCGCCGCGGUAAUAC
rnacentral:rRNA from 1 species